rnacentral:rRNA from 1 species
AUUGAACGCUGGCGGCAUGCUUUACACAUGCAAGCCGAACGGUAACAGGUUAAGCUGACGAGUGGCGAACGGGUGAGUAAUGCAUCGGAACGUGCCCGGUCAUGGGGGAUAACACUUCGAAAGAAGUGCUAAUACCGCAUACGAUCUGAGGAUGAAAGCGGGGGACCGUAAGGCCUCGCGCGAUCGGAGCGGCCGAUGUCAGAUUAGGUAGUUGGUGGGGUAAAGGCCCACCAAGCCGACGAUCUGUAGCUGGUCUGAGAGGACGACCAGCCACACUGGGACUGAGACACGGCCCAGACUCCUACGGGAGGCAGCAGUGGGGAAUUUUGGACAAUGGGGGAAACCCUGAUCCAGCCAUUCCGCGUGUGCGAUGAAGGCCUUCGGGUUGUAAAGCACUUUUGGCGGGAAAGAAAUCGGUCGGGAUACUACCCUGAUCGGAUGACGGUACCCGCAGAAUAAGCACCGGCUAACUACGUGCCAGCCGCCGCCGUAA